rnacentral:rRNA from 1 species
GCGAGUGAAGCGGCAACAGCUCAAAUUUGAAAUCUGGCGCCUUUGGCGUCCGAGUUGUAAUUUGUAGAGGAUGCUUUUGGGCAGCCACCGGUCUAAGUUCCUUGGAACGGGACGUCAUAGAGGGUGAGAAUCCCGUAUGCGACCGGAAGGGCACCCUGCACAUAGCUCCUUCGACGAGUCGAGUUGUUUGGGAAUGCAGCUCUAAAUGGGAGGUAAAUUUCUUCUAAAGCUAAAUACCGGCCAGAGACCGAUAGCGCACAAGUAGAGUGAUCGAAAGAUGAAAAGCACUUUGGAAAGAGAGUUAAAAAGCACGUGAAAUUGUUGAAAGGGAAGCGCUUGCGACCAGACUUGUCGGCGGUGUUCCCCCGGUCUUCUGACCGGUCCACUCACCGCUCGCAGGCCAGCAUCAUUUGGGGUCGCCGGAGAAAAACGGCGGGAAUGUGGCUCCCUCGGGAGUGUUAUAGCCCGCCGCGCAAUACGGCGCGCCCCGAGUGAGGUCCGCGCUUCGGCUAGGAUGCUGGCGUAAUGGUCGUAAGCGGCCCGUCUUGAAACACGGACCAAGGAGUCUAACAUCUAUGCGAGUGUUCGGGUGUCAAACCCCUACGCGUAAUGAAAGUGAACGGAGGUGGGAACCCCCCGGGGUGCACCAUCGACCGAUCCUGAUGUCUUCGGAUGGAUUUGAGUAAGAGCAUAGCUGUUGGGACCCGAAAGAUGGUGAACUAUGCCUGAAUAGGGUGAAGCCAGAGGAAACUCUGGUGGAGGCUCGCAGCGGUUCUGACGUGCAAAUCGAUCGUC